UUGAACGCUGUGAGAAAACACCGAAAAGCCAUGCGAAUGAGGGAUAUCCCAUUGCGAAGAAGCCAUCAUCAUUCACAAUCACGACUGUGAACAAAAUUGAAGGAAGAUGAAGGAUUGUUGAAAGGAAGCUACAGCCAAUGAAGACUCAUUCCUCUAAACAGAACAACGCGGAACCAGCCGUUACUAGCGCCAAAUUCACCAUCCAAAACCAACUCUCACCCAUGCAUGGUAUGUCUUGAUGAUCACCAUCAAUCCGUCGAUAAAAACCAUCAUGAUCCUCUAGAGAAGGAUUUAACUUCGUCCAGCAUCAUCUCAACGUAGGGAGUCUUUCAACCCUAUGCAGAUCAACGAGGAGAAUCACAAAAUUCCCUAGGCAAAUGUGUUCUCUAUUCGAGGGUAUGUUAUUCUUCACAUGAAAGCUCCUAGACAUGAUUUGACGAGAAGUGAUGAAUAAAGUUCCUUAGGGUAUGUUCUUCUUCACAUGAAAGCUCCUAGACAUGAUUUGAUUAUGCAAAGAGGAUGUUUCCUGGGGCAGGUCUUUCUUGACAUGAAAUUUUCAAUGGCAAGACCUAUUAGGAAAGAUGCAUGGGCUUCCUUAAGCAUAUCAUUAUUUUAUAUGAAAUUUCUAUAGAAUGUUCUCAGGCGUAAGAUAACAAGGUGGUACAUAAAAUUUCUAUAGGCAUCUUACAUGAAGGAUGAUGACGUAGGGC